rnacentral:misc_RNA from 1 species
GGGCUUCAUUUGUUGAUCGGAAAAUAGAUAAACUACCUUUAUCAGUCACCGGAGAAGAGAAACAAAGAAGAGAUUGUUCGUUUGGAUCUACGAGCUAUGGCUACUGCGUUGACGAGACGCGCAUCCUCGAUCGUUUUCGCAAUCGUCCUAUUAGGGAGCUUGUUUGCAUUCUCUAUAGCUAAAGAAGAAGCUACCAAGUUAGGAACUGUUAUCGGUAUAGAUCUUGGAACAACUUAUUCUUGUGUUGGAGUUUACAAGAAUGGACAUGUUGAGAUCAUAGCAAAUGACCAAGGUAAUCGUAUCACCCCUUCAUGGGUAGCCUUCACUGAUGGUGAGAGACUGAUCGGUGAAGCAGCUAAAAAUCAAGCAGCUGUUAAUCCAGAGAGGACCGUCUUUGACGUCAAAAGACUUAUCGGGAGAAAGUUUGAAGACAAAGAAGUACAAAGGGACAUGAAACUUGUUCCCUAUAAGAUUGUUAACAAGGAUGGGAAACCUUAUAUCCAA